AAAGUCGUAACAAGGUUUCCGUAGGUGAACCUGCGGAAGGAUCAUUACAGUGCCAGCGGGUGCGUUCGCGGCCGUCCUCCCAAAGGGGGCGUGCCCGGCGCCCUGCGACCGGCCCCACACUUGUCUACAGACCGUGUUGCCUCGGCGGGCCCGCUGCUAAUGCGGCCGCCGGGGGGGACUCACAUCCCCCCUGGCCAGCGCCCGCCCGAGGACCGAUCGAAAUAUCUUUAAUGAACAGAGUUGCUGUCUGAGCGAUAAUCGCAAAUGAAUCAAAACUUUCAACAAUGGAUCUCUUGGUUCCG
rnacentral:misc_RNA from 1 species